rnacentral:rRNA from 1 species
GAUGAACGCUAGCUACAGGCUUAACACAUGCAAGUCGAGGGGUAACGAGAGGAAAGCUUGCUUUCCUUGUCGACGACCGGCGCACGGGUGAGUAACGCGUAUCCAACCUGCCCCCAACUAGGGAAUAACCUUGCGAAAGUAAGACUAAUACCCUAUAAUUUCCUCAGAUGUCAUCUGACGAGGAAUAAAGAUUUAUCGGUUGUGGAUGGGGAUGCGUCUGAUUAGCUUGUCGGCGGGGUAACGGCCCACCAAGGCAACGAUCUGUAGGGGUUCUGAGAGGAAGGCCCCCCACAUUGGAGCUGAGACACGGUCCAAACUCCUACGGGAGGCAGCAGUGAGGAAUAUUGGUCAAUGGGCGGAAGCCUGAACCAGCCAAGUAGCGUGCAGGAUGACGGCCCUAUGGGUUGUAAACUGCUUUUAUACAGGAAUAAAGUUAGCCACGUGUGGUUAUUUGUAGGUACUGUAUGAAUAAGGACCGGCUAAUUCCGUGCCAGCCGCCGCCGUAA